rnacentral:rRNA from 1 species
AGUGAACGCUGGCGGUAGGCCUAACACAUGCAAGUCGAACGGCAGCACAGUAAGAGCUUGCUCUUACGGGUGGCGAGUGGCGGACGGGUGAGGAAUACAUCGGAAUCUACUUUUUCGUGGGGGAUAACGUAGGGAAACUUACGCUAAUACCGCAUACGACCUACGGGUGAAAGCAGGGGAUCUUCGGACCUUGCGCGAUUGAAUGAGCCGAUGUCGGAUUAGCUAGUUGGCGGGGUAAAGGCCCACCAAGGCGACGAUCCGUAGCUGGUCUGAGAGGAUGAUCAGCCACACUGGAACUGAGACACGGUCCAGACUCCUACGGGAGGUAGCAGUGGGGAAUAUUGGACAAUGGGCGCAAGCCUGAUCCAGCCAGACCGCGUGGGUGAAGAAGGCCUUCGGGUUGUAAAGCCCUUUUGUUGGGAAAGAAAAGCAGCAGGUUAAUACCCCGCUGUUCUGACGGUACCCAAAGAAUAAGCACCGGCUAACUUCGUG